AAUGAACGCUGGCGGCAUGCCUAACACAUGCAAGUCGAACGGAAACACGGGGAGCUUUCUCCCUUGACGGUAGCGGGGGGCGGGUGAGUAACACGUGGAUAACAUUCCUCUAUGACUGGGGUAACUUCGUGGAAACGGUGCCAAUAACGGCUAAUAUAUUCAACCGCAUAGAUCAGUAGUGAAAGGCGGCUUUGCUGUCACUUUUAGCUGGUGCCGCGCCGGAUUAGCUAGUGGGUAAGGUAACGGCUUACCAAGGCGACGAUGCGUAGCCGAUCUGAGAGGAUGAUCGGCCACACUGGAACUGAGACACGGUCCAGACUCCUACGGGAGGCAGCAGUAGGGAAUAUUGCGCAAUGGGCGAAAGCCUGAUGGAGCAAUGCCGCGUGAGUGAUGAAGGCCUUCGGAUCGUAAAGCACUGUUAUUGGGGAAGAACAGAUGUAUGUGUAAACAUGCACGUCUUGACGGUACCCAAAGAAAAAGCACCGGCUAACUACGUG
rnacentral:rRNA from 1 species